AACCCAGGCCCUACGGGGCGCAGCAGGCGCGAAACCUUCGCACUGCGCGAAAGCGCCGACCCAGGGGAACCCGAGUGCCUCUCCAUUUCGGGGAGGCUUUUCACAAGCCUAAAAAGCUUGUGGAAUAAGGGCUGGGCAAGACGGGUGCCAGCCGCCGCGGUAAUACCCGCAGCUCGAGUGGUGGUCGCUUUUAUUGAGCCUAAAACGUUCGUAGUCGGCCUUGUAAAUCCCUGGGUAAAUUGGGCCGCUUAACGGUUCAAAUUCCGGGGAGACUGCAAGGCUAGGGACCGGGCGAGGUCAGAGGUACUUUCGGGGUAGGAGUGAAAUCCUGUAAUCCCGAAGGGACCACCUGUGGCGAAAGCGUCUGACUUGAACGGCUCCGACGAUGAGGAACGAAGGCUAGGGGAGCAAACCGGAUUAGAUACCCGGGUAGUCCUAGCUGUAAACUCUGCCCGCUUGGUGUGGCCUGUCCUUCGGGGGCAGGCCGUGCCGGAGCGAAGGUGUUAAGCGGGCUGCUUGGGGAGUACGGCCGCAAGGUUGAAACUUAAAGGAAUUGGCGGGGGAGCACCGCAACGGGAGGAUGCGUGCGGUUUAAUUGGAUUCAACGCCGGAAAACUCACCUGAGGAGACCAGCGUAUGUGGGUCAAGCCGAAGACUUUACCCGAACAACAGCUGGAGAGGUGGUGCAUGGCCAUCGUCAGCUCGUACCGUAGGGCAUUCACUUAAGUGUGAUAACGAGCGAGACCCCCAUCCCUAGUUGCUAACCCCUCCGAAAGGAGGGGUGCACUAUAGGGAGACCGCUUCCGCUAAGGAAGAGGAAGGAGAGGUCGACGGUAGGUCAGUAUGCCCCGAAUCCUCAGGGCAACACGCGCGCUACAAAGGACAGGACAAUGGGUUCCAACCCCGAAAGGGGAAGGUAAUCCCGAAACCUGUUCGUAGUCCGGAUUGAGGGCUGUAACUCGCCCUCAUGAAGGUGG
rnacentral:rRNA from 1 species